UUCCGGGUUCGGGCCCCUCUGGCGCGCGCGGCGGCGUGCGCGAUGUCGAACCGUCUAG
rfam:Alphaproteobacteria bacterium RIFCSPHIGHO2_12_FTLL_63_12 rifcsphigho2_12_scaffold_5416, whole genome shotgun sequence.